UAGGAAUCUUGGACAAUGGGCGCAAGCCUGAUCCAGCCAUGCCGCGUGAGUGAUGAAGGCCUUAGGGUUGUAAAGCUCUUUCAGCGGGGAAGAUAAUGACAGUACCGGGAGAAUAAGCCCCGGCUAACUCCGUGCCAGCAGCCGCGGUAAUACGGAGGGGGCUAGCGUUGUUCGGAAUUACUGGGCGUAAAGCGCACGUAGGCGGCUUUGUAAGUUAGAGGUGAAAGCCCGGGGCUCAACUCCGGAAUUGCCUUUAAGACUGCAUCGCUAGAAUUGUGGAGAGGUAAGUGGAAUUCCGAGUGUAGAGGUGAAAUUCGUAGAUAUUCGGAAGAACACCAGUGGCGAAGGCGACUUACUGGACACAUAUUGACGCUGAGGUGCGAAAGCGUGGGGAGCAAAC
rnacentral:rRNA from 1 species